rnacentral:misc_RNA from 1 species
GCAAACUUGGUCAUUUAGAGGAAGUAAAAGUCGUAACAAGGUCUCCGUUGGUGAACCAGCGGAGGGAUCAUUACAAGAGAGUUGCAAAACUCCCUGAAACCCUUUGUGAACAUUGCCCGUCAGUAGUACCUACGGCAGGUUCUCCCCUGGGAGGGGGGUCUUAUGCCUGCCGAAAGGACCAACACAAACUCUUUCAUGGCGUUCUACGCCGCUGUUAUCUGAGUAACUAAAAAAAUCAAAUUAAAACUUUCAACAACGGAUCUCUUGGUUCUGGCAUCGAUGAAGAACGCAGC